AUCAAAUGCCAUAUCACCCUGCAGCCCAAGACCGGUUACUCACUGAAGCUACGCAGGGCUGAGCCUGGUCAGUACCAAGAUAAGAGUCCACAUGGGAAAGCUAUGUUGCUGUUGGAA
ensembl:rRNA 5S_rRNA 5S ribosomal RNA